GGCUAGAUGAAAUCUUCACUCUUGCCAGAGCCAUUCUCAAUAAACAUUUGCUGAAGAAAUGCUUGCUACCUGAAUGAAUGAUCAGAAGCCGGAAAAAUCAGCUUUCAAAAGGAGCUUAGGAACAAGCAGAGAGAAAAUCCCACCUCAAAGGAUCUGGAGAACUGGCCAGAGAUCACCCCAGAAGAGAGUACAGGAGCCAGGAUUUGGACGCAGGUCUCUCUGACUCAAAUCCUUUUCUCUUUCCCUUACUGCAUCCUCCCCCUCAUCUCCUGAAAAAUAGAAGCUGGAUCCUGGAAUACACACAGAAAACCCUCCACCCAUUUUAAGGAUACAUCAAGAUCAAAACUCAUUGAUAUUGUAAUCUUACUAGUUUGAACUUUAAAACAUUUUACUGCCAUGUGGGGACUGGCUUCAAAGAAAUGUUUUAGUGGUGUUACGUUUAA